rnacentral:rRNA from 1 species
UACGGGGGGGGCAAGCGUUGUUCGGAAUUACUGGGCGUAAAGGGCGUGUAGGUGGCCAACUAAGUCCGACGUGAAAUCCCCAGGCUUAACCUGGGAACUGCGUCGGAUACUGGAUGGCUUGAAUUCGGGAGAGGAAUGCAGAAUUCCAGGUGUAGCGGUGAAAUGCGUAGAUAUCGGGAGGAACACCUAUGGCGAAGGCAGCUCGCUGGGACGUUACUGACGCUGAGACGCGAAAGCGUGGGGAGCAAACAGG